rnacentral:rRNA from 1 species
ACCUAAGAGAUUAGGCGUUCCCUUCGGGGACGGAAUGACAGGUGGUGCAUGGUUGUCGUCAGCUCGUGUCGUGAGAUGUUGGGUUAAGUCCCGCAACGAGCGCAACCCUCGUUCUAUGUUGCCAGCGCGUUAUGGCGGGGACUCAUAGGAGACUGCCGGGGUCAACUCGGAGGAAGGUGGGGAUGACGUCAAAUCAUCAUGCCCCUUAUGUCUUGGGCUUCACGCAUGCUACAAUGGCCGGUACAAAGGGCUGCGAUACCGUAAGGUGGAGCGAAUCCCAAAAAGCCGGUCUCAGUUCGGAUUGAGGUCUGCAACUCGACCUCAUGAAGUCGGAGUCGCUAGUAAUCGCGGAUCAGCACGCCGCGGUGAAUACGUUCCCGGGUCUUGUACACACCGA